ACUGGCGGCGCGCUGCCCACACUGCGGCACCCAGCGGGCGCUCAGUACCGGAGUGUCUGGCGGCUGGGGAGGCGGUGCGGCCGUCUAGGUCUCAGCCCACCCCGCACGGUCCCGGCGUCGGCUCCGGAGGGACCCUGGGCAGGUCUGCGCCCUCUUCGGUGUCAACCUGGUGCUGAAUCUUGAACCCGUGAAAUACCUUCUUAAUUACAUCUGAGAAAAGGAUCCUUAUUGAAUCAGUGCUUUACACUAUAACUCAAUGCUCUCCAUGAAGCUGAGAUAUGCCCACUGUUGAGAGUGAAGCAAAGGUGAAGACCAAAGUUCGCUUUGAGGAAUUGCUUAAGGCCCACAAUGAUCUAAUACGUGAAAGAAGAAAACUGAAGAAAAAAAUUGGCAAAUCUGGAGAAAAAAUCUCACUUGAUGCAGUCAGAAGCAAUCUUCAGAAAAUCAGAGAAACUAAAAGUGAUGAUAUAAGUGCUGCUAACACUAAGAACCCAGGGAAGAACAUGCGAGUCACUAAAAACAAACCAAGAGAUCCGCAGCCAGCAGCUGAAGAUCCUGAUAAUGAUGUUACUGUGGAGGACGACAAGCAAGAAAAGGCAAAUAAAAAGGUUAUAAAAACAGCACUCCAGGUGACAACACAAGAAGUGGAGCCGGAAACUCCUGAGAAGAAGGCGGAUGCAACACCCCAGAAAGCACGGACCAAGCCACUGCCAGGUGUCACUCGUGAGAAAAGUGAGAAGGCCGAGGAAGGAGAAAAUAGUUUAGGUGAGGAAGAACUGAUGCAAGUAUACCAGCUCCAAGUAGCUGAAGAAAUGGCAAAGGAGAUUAAGAAGAAAAUCCGAAAGAAACUCAAGGAGCAGUUGGCUUACUUUCCCUCAGAGACUUCCUUUCCUUCAGAUACUUCAUUGUAUGAUGACAAAUUGAACGGUGAAAAAAGAAAAAAGAAAAAAAAGAAGGUUCCAAUCCUGUCUAAAUCUGAAACAAGUACAUUGAUCAUCUCUGAUGACCCAGUUGAAGGUGAACAAAAGAAGGAAUCUCCAGUUGGAGCAGUUACUUCAGAUUCUCAUCAAGAUGAUGAAAGAAGCUCAAAGGAACAAAAUGUAGAAGACAAUGUGCAAGAUGACGCAAAAUCCAAACUGAAAAAAAAGAAGGCGGCUAAAGCAGCCCUGCGUGAAUGCCAAAAUCUCUGCUGGUUUCUCUGUCCCCCAGUAGGGGCCUUCUGCCAGGGGGUACGCCUGGAUUCUCAACCUCUAGAUGCGCCCAGAAUUGUUUCAGAUGAUAAUGAAGACACUGAUGGUGACGGUGUUCAUGAAAUAACAAGCCGAGAUAGUCCAGUUUAUCCCAAAUGUUUGCUUGAUGAUGACCUUGUCCUGGGAGUUUACAUUCACCGAACUGAUCGGCUUAAGUCAGAUUUUAUGAUUUCUCACCCGAUGGUGAAAAUUCAUGUGGUUGAUGAGAAUACUGGUCAAUAUGUCAAGAAAGAUGACAGUGAACGGCCUGUUUCAUCUUACUAUGAAAAGGAGAAUGUGGAUUAUAUUCUUCCUAUUAUGACCCAGCCAUAUGACUUUAAACAGUUAAAAUCAAGACUUCCAGAGUGGGAAGAACAAAUUAUAUUUAAUGAAAACUUUCCCUAUUUGCUUCGAGAUUUUGAUGAGAGUCCUAAAGUCAUCCUGUUCUUUGAGAUUCUUGAUUUCUUAAGCAUGGAAGAAAUUAAGAACAGCUCUGAAAUUCGAAACCAAGAAUGUGGCUUCCGGAAAAUCGCCUGGGCAUUUCUCAAGCUUCUAGGAGCCAAUGGAAAUGUAAACAUCAAUUCGAAACUUCGCUUGCAGCUGUAUUACCCACCCACAAAGCCUCGAUCCCAAUCAAAUGUCGUUGAGGUUUUUGAGUGGUGGUUAAAAUGUCCAAGAAAUCGUUAUCCAUCAACGUUGUAUGUAACUGUAAGAGGAUUAAAAGUUCCAGAAUGUAUAAAGCCAUCUUAUCGUUCUAUGAUGGCUCUUCAGGAAGAAAAGGGUAAACCAUUGUAUUGUGAACAACACCAUGAGGCACGUUCAGUAGACACAGAACCUGGAUUAGAAGAUUCAAAGGAAGUGGUGAAGUGGAAACGACUGCCUGGGCAGGCUUGCCGUAUCCCAAACAAGCACCUCUUCUCACUAAAUGCAGGAGAGCGAGGAUGUUUUUGUCUUGCUUUCUCCCACAAUGGAAGAAUAUUAGCAGCAGCCUGUGCCAGCCGGGAUGGGUAUCCAAUUAUUUUAUAUGAAAUUCCUUCUGGACGUUUCAUGAGAGAAUUGUGUGGCCACCUCAAUAUCAUUUAUGAUCUUUGCUGGUCAAAAGAUGAUCGCUAUAUUCUUACUGCAUCAUCUGAUGGCACUGCCAGGAUAUGGAAAAAUGAAAUAAACAAUACAAAUACUUUCAGAGUUUUACCGCAUCCUUCUUUUGUUUACACGGCUAAAUUCCACCCAGCUGUAAAAGAGCUGGUGGUUACAGGAUGCUAUGAUUCUGUGAUACGUAUAUGGAAAGUUGAUAUGAGAGAGGAUCCUGCCAUAUUAAUCCGACAGUUUGACGCUCACAAGAGUUUUAUCAACUCUCUCUGUUUUGAUAUUGAAGGUCAUCACAUGUAUUCAGGAGACUGCACAGGGGUGAUUGUUGUUUGGAGUACAUAUGUCAAAGUUAAUGAUGUGCAACACUCAGUGCGUCACUGGAGUGUAAAUAAGGAAAUUAAAGAGAGUGAGUUUAAGGGGAUUCCAAUAAGUUACUUGGAGGUUCAUCCCAAUGGAAAACGUUUGUUAAUUCAUACCAAAGACAGUACUUUGAGAAUUAUGGAUCUCCGAAUAUUAGCAGCAAGGAAAUUUGUAGGUGCAGCAAAUUAUCGAGAGAAGAUUCACAGUACUUUGACACCAUGUGGGACUUUUCUCUUUGCUGGAAGUGAGGAUGGUAUAGUAUAUGUUUGGAACCCAGAAACAGGAGAACAAGUAGCAAUGUAUUCUGACCUGCCAUUCAAGUCACCCAUUCGAGAUAUUGCUUAUCAUCCACUUGAAAAUAUGGUUGCAUUUUGUGCUUUUGGGCAGAAUGAGCCAAUUCUUCUAUAUAUAUAUGAUUUUUAUGUUGCCCAGCAGGAGGCUGAAAUGUUCAAACGCUACAAUGGAACCUUUCCAUUACCUGGAAUACACCAAAAUCAAGACGCUUUAUGCAUCUGCCCUAGACUGCCUCAUCAGGGCUCUUUUCAGAUUGAUGACUAUGUCCACACUGAAAAUUCUUCAGUGAAGAUGCAGCAAGUGAAACAGAGGAUUGAUUCUGUCACAGAGGUGAUACGAGCCUGUGCUGCAAAGGUUAACAAAAAUCUCUCAUUUACUUCAGUAUCAGCCUCCUCACAACAGUUGAAGUCAAAACAAUCAAACGUGCUGGACGCUCAUCAGAUUCUGCGUCAGUUUGGUUUCACUCAAACUGGGAUUAUCAGUAUAGAAAGAAAGCCUUGUAACCACCAUGUAGAUACAGCACCAACGGUAGUGGCCCUUUAUGACUACACAGCGAAUCGAUCAGAUGAACUAACCAUCCAUCGCGGAGACAUUAUCCAAGUGUUUUUCAAAGAUAAUGAAGACUGGUGGUAUGGCAGCAGAGGAAAGGGACAGGAAGGUUAUUUUCCAGCUAAUCAUGUGGCUAGUGAAACACUGUAUCGAGAACAGCCUCCAGAGGUAAAGGAGCGAUCCCCUCCUUUAACCCCUAAGGAAAAAGCCAAAAUGGAAAAAGCUUUUUCAGCUCCACAAAAGGUGGGAGUGUCCUGGAACCAAUCCCCCUUGGAUACUGAGGGCCAGCUGUACAUACAUGUAUUUAAGCAGUCAUUCAAGUCCCAGGAUUUCAGACCGGGCUCAGAGUCUAUGACACAUAAAGAGCUGAAGAAGAAUGAAGGGGCAAGGAACCAAAUAUACAGAAAUGAAAUGACAAAUUAAACCAAAUGGAAUUUCUCUUCAGAGUUCAGAAAUUUCAGAUGGCCAGGAAGAAAGGAAGGCUCUACUAUUUCUUAUCCUUAUGAAAGAAUCUAGAAAAAUCAGAAACAAGGAAUCGAUUCUGUGGACUCAAACUAACACAUGGACAGUAACAUUUUAUUCAAGAAACAGUAUCCCAGUCACAUAAGAGAAAAUAAAAACAUCAAGAGUCACGUCAAUCAAAAGGCUCUGUUGAGUGGCAAACUCAGUCUGUGGAUGGACCCAAUUAUCUGCAGGCGAACUGAAUGUCAGCAUCAUUUAGGGUUAACAAUGGACCAGCUAGGCAAAAGCAGACAGCUACUCUCUGCAGAGACCCGGAAAGCAAACUUGGUAAUGAGGUCUGGCAAACUGAAACAUCCAAUACACUUGCGACAGACAGACUAGAGUUGCUGCAAAUCCUACAGUCCCAUGAAGUGAAGGUGUUAAGUGUUUGGUGUUAAGGAUGGACCUUAGUAAGCAAGCCUCCUUCUUGCUGGGGGAGUGGAGAUUCUGCCCCUAAAAAUGAAAUCAGCAUAUCAAUGUCCACAGCCUCGCGCAUUUCCUUUGGAAGGUCGGAGUUCCUCGGACUACAAACAAGAGGACACAAGGGAGAGUGGGAACCUUGAAUCUGGAAGUUUUCAUGAGAAGGGAAAGGUUCCAGGUGGUAAAGAAUAGGAUGGGUCUUGCUCAGCAGAAACAGAGCACUAUUCACAAUAUCCAAGACAUGGAGCAGCCUAAAUGUCCACCAGCAGAUGAAUGGAUAAAGAAGAUGUGGUACAUAUGCACAAUGGAAUAUUAGUCGCCCAUAAUAAGGAAUGAAAUAAUGCCAUUUGCAACAACAUGAAUGGACCUAGAGAUUAUCAUACUAAGUGAAGUAAGUCAGACAAAGACAAAUAUCCUAUGAUAUAACUUAUUCGUAGAAUCUUAAAAAAUGAUACGAAUGAAUUUAUUUACAAAACAGAAACAGACUCACAGACAUAGAAAACAAACUUAGGGUUACCAAACGGGAAAGGUGGGAGGAGGAAUAAAUUAGGAGUUUGGGAUUAGCAUAUACACACUACUAUAUAUAAAAUAGAUAAUCAACAAGGACCUACUGUAUAGCACAGGGAACUCUACUCAAUAUUCUGUAAUAACCUAUAUGGGAAAAGAAUCUAAAAAAGAAUGGAUACAUGUAUAACUGACUCACUUUGCUGUCCACCUGAAACGAACAACAUUGUAAAUCAACUGUACUCCAGCAUAAAACUAAAAUUUUUUUAAGUAAAAUGAAAAAAGGAAUCUCAAAGGUUCAUAUUGAAAUAGUCACACCAACCUUUAGCAUUUAAGAAAAAUGUUUUCUUUCCAAUUUUUAUGUGCUACGGAGACGUUACCCUAGUCUAAAAGAAAUAAAUAAUAAAAUACCAUCACCAAUGCAUUUCACAUCCCUGUAAGAAUUGUGUCUAUUAGGGUUGCGUUUGGGGUGAAGAAGAGGGUUGUGUAAGGUCUUCCUUCUUGUGUUUCCUCUUUAGUGUCCGUUCACCACCCUCAGGAGACAUAGCUGGCCCUUUAUGUCAUCAUGGCCCGUGUACAUCAUCAUGGCAACCAUCUCAUAAGUGUUAACUUGCCGUUUGCAGAGAGACAGUAUCUUUUCAUCAUUUAUUCCCAAUGUUACCUUUAGUGCCUGGUGCAUAAUAGGCACAUUCAGUACUCAACAAGGCAGAUCACAGGUCCAAAGGCUUAUUUUCUGUAUAUCGAUAAGUUGGGGGUGAAAUGUAGGUAGGGAUAUUAACAGAUCAUGGAAAUUAUGCAGCAGUAUUACACCAAUCCAAAUUUCUGUGUAUUUUUCUAUUUCCUCUAGUAAAUCUAUUUCCUUUCCCCUCUCACUCCCUCCCCUCCACACCCAUCCUGGCUUUUAAACUCUUACUUUCUCUCUAUUUACAGCCAAAAUUGUUUGCAGUGCCCCACACCUGACUUCCAGCUGGUUCUUGUAUUCAGGCACAAACAAAAGCAAGACAAACACACACUGCAUCUGUACUUUGAAACAGCCUCAAUUCCAGGUGGUUGAAAGGACUCCCUGGGGCACCUGAAACUCAGGUGGGACCAUAGCAGUGUUUCAAGCCCAGCCCACCUGUAAUUCCCCUUUCCUCAAGGUUGCCAGGCAGUCAAGAGCUGGGUGUGCAGAACUGGUGACUCGAGUUCUAUCAGGUGUCAGCCUCUGGCACGUGCAGUGGCAAGAGGCAGGCUGAUCCUCCAAAACGUCCUCAGCCUGCGCUUCACUGAGGUCACAGCCCGAGGACCUCACGUGUCCCCAUCCAUUUCCCAAAGAGCAUUUUCCUCCAGACUGAAGGGGAAAAUCCAGCUUCCUGAACUAGCGUGUGCAGCAGGCGAGCUAGGGAGCCUGCCUUCUGGUGACCAGGGUGCUCAGCCAUUCCAGGCCAGGUGUGGGUGCCUGGUGGGUCUCAGUUCUCCCCGUCACUGCUUCCCAUUUCCUUGCAGUGCCAGUGGACCUCGAGGCAUGUCUAAACUGCCAUCACAGGCUUUCUUCGUCAAUGAUUUACAGCAUCAGCCAAAUAAUCAUCUGGCAAGAAGAAAAAGAUAACACGGCGUGCUUAACAAGAAGGUAAUGUGUGUGAGUGUUUAGGUAGUCGCUAAUUAUUUUCUGACUGGAGAACCAGAUAGACUGUGGCAAUGCUGUUUCUAACCCCACUGCUUUAACGCUUUCCUAAGUGGACAAAUGGAUGUGAAUCAGAAAGGAGCGUAAAGUGAGGUGGGCUUAAAAAAUAAAGAUAUCUUCUUUCGAUUUGCUUGAGUUCCUGUCUGCCAAGAAAUGAAGAAAGCUUCGGAACACCUUACACAACAUUUCCCGUUUUCUACCGAAAUGCUUUUAUUUAGAGUUCAGUUUUAUAAAUUAGCAAAUCAAGUAAGAAGGAAGUCCCUUUCCUUGUAGCACAGCUUAACAAGAGACCCAGGAUGAAAACCUCUGCAGAAUCUUCAUUCCCAGGACCAUGGAGGAAAAAAUUUAUAAGAUUUAUGCAAAACUUCAAAACAAGCCCCUCCCUACACACACCUCCCCCUUGCGUGGGUGUUUCCUUCACCCCACUACCACCAGUGUUGGUUUUUAUGUGAGCAUAAUUGUGCUUUUGUCUUGGAGUUGGCUCACCUCAAUACACUCUAGUCUGAGAUCCCUUGGCCUCAAGCCCAGGGUGGGGCUUUGCCCUCAGUACUGUAAAUAAUGGUAAUUACCUUUACAAACUUAAAAAAAAUAUUUUUUUUUCUUUCCCAAGGCCAAGAAUAUCCAAAGUCUAGAGCAUUCUAUAUAACCCCUUGUGCGUAAAUCUGUUAGAAUCUGUAUGGCAAUGAGAAAGAGUUUCUCCCUCGUGCAAUGAAUGUCCAAAGUGAAAAGAUGGUCACCAGCGCUUAGCUGCCCCGUGGAUCACUCUGGGCCUGUGUGGUCUCUGCUUCCAGAUUAUAGUGGUGAUGUAAGUCCAAAAGAACGGAGUAAAUUAUGAAGUAGAAUUUAGCGUUUAUUCUCACCGCUGAUGCAGAAGUUUCUGUGAAUUAGAUUGAAACAGAAGCAUGUUCCAUGUGCCCGCUAUCAACUCACAAGGAGAGGAGUUAGGCCGCCUGAUUCUAGACUGGGCCAUUUCCAAGGCAUUACUUCCUGCAGUAUCUCUGUCUGCUUGACAGCACCUAUUGUUCCGAUUAAGUUGACAUGCAUCCAAGCUUUUGCCUCAUUAGAUUAUCUCCAUGGUGCUGAGGCUAUAAUUUCUGCAUAAUCUUGGUGUUUUAUUUCAUGCACAAUCGCUAGCAGCUGUUAUCCAUGUCUAAGAUCAAAACAAUUAAUGAAAAUUCAAAAAUUUUAAACUCAAUAGCUUUUGGCCACAUCGACAUAUCAAGACUCAUACAAAAGUUUUGAUUUAUGAAUGAGAUAGAUUGGUUUCCCGGGCCCCAGAGUUCCUUUGAUUAUUUUACUUCCAGAUUAACUGGCUUGAGUAUGGAGACCUGAACAUCUGGACAGAUGCCCUUAACCUAGCAUUCACUCAUUUCAAAGGCGAACGACCCAGAGUGGGAAGCCUCUUGGGCAUGUGUGAUAACUGGAAAUUUACUAAGACCCUCAAGGAAGUGUCAGCCUUGUCUGCAUGUCAUUUUUUCCAUUCAGAAGUCAAAUUAUUGCUCCAUGGCUGUGAGAGUUAUUGAGGGCAUGCUCUGUGUUCAUGUUAUCGUGUGUUCCAGGCAUUUAAAUGAUCAAGAAUAUUCAUCUGUGAGGUUUCUUGUGCUAAGAGGAGGUGAUUCAUAAUGCAGCUACCAGAACGUGAAGCUCUGUGAUCCAUCAUAUACCAUCACUUUAUUAACAAUCACUUUCCCUUGGCUCAGGGCCCUGCUGAGGAUCAAGAGGGGUCCACCCCCGGGCUCUGGAGCCUUCCCCUGAAGUGCUAACUUAUAAUCAGCAGUAAUAAACUUCCCUUCUCACUAGGAGGGCUCAAUGUUUAGGAGGUAAUUUCUCUUUGGCACUUGGCCUCAUUCCAAAUGUUCAGAACUUCUUGUGGAGGUUCUGAGAGCUAUUCAUGCAGCCCUGCUGAUGCUUGCUCAUCUGUUUGUUAAAGACUCCCUUGUCCCCAUGUGACCCCUCAAUCCAUCCACCAUGCAAGUUCCAAAGACUGACAGAGAGAGCACCAUGCAGAUGGCUGUCUGGACUCUACACAAAUUCAACCCUCCUGGGGGACUCCCCAAAUGGCUAAUGUCCUUGUGCACAAGAAUGAAAAGUGACUCCAUGUGAGGUACAGUGCGAGUUAUUCUGGGGGAAACAGACACAACAGCACAGAACUGGUGAGGCGAGGCUGCCCCGUUCACCAUCUUUGGAAAUUUUAAAAUUGGGCUGCGUCUCAGUAUCUCUUCUCUCUGCUGCACAGUCUCUAAAAUAACUUGUUUGAUGGUGAUGGAAAAAAAGCUGAGGGCAAACAGGAAUUGGUUUUCUAGGUCACGUACUUUAAGACUUACUGAACACCUAGAGAAUCCAACACACAGUAUCAUCCCCAUUCUGGAGGAGCGUCCAUGGAGCGCCGUCUCUGAGGGUCUAUCGAUACAAAAGGAGUGUCUCAGCCUUGGCAUCCAAGCUGGAAAGGCUUAGGGAUAAUUUUUCAAAACUUCUGUCUGAAACUGUUUCAUUCUUUCACUGAAGGUUAACAUUGGUUCGAAGUACUAUUGCCAUUCAUUUGUGUUGAACUUCAUUAGAACAGAGAGAGGGGUAGGGGUAGGAAUUGUUUUCUAAACCAUAAGACUUGACUCUGGUUCUUUCAGGAGAAAAAGGGGUUAAGUCCUCUGGGUAAAACAUUGUCAAUCACUAGUGACUGCCACCAAGAUGAAAAACAAGCUGCACCUGUACAUGGGCAAUUUAAGAGAUUCUGGUCAGCUAUUUUUCUCUGGUGCUUUGUUCUGCCAGCUGCCUCUGCUUUGGAUGCAGGUGGAAGCAUGGACUUUGCUAUCUAUAAAAAAAUUUAAUGGUGAAGAUCAACUUCCGCUUCACCUCCCCAGGGAUCAAAGUUUUGGGGCUCUUUUUUUUUUUUCUUUCCCUGAAAGACUAGUAGAGCAAAGCUCAGAUCAGACAAUGGACAUGUUGUUGAGAAGCCCAUUCUCCCCAGAGAAGUAGCAGAAGAUCUUUGGUGGGUUAUAGUUUUUUUCUUCCCAAUUUGAAGAAACUAAUAGAAGCAGAGAGAUGCAUGCCUCCACAGGGUGAGGUUAAGCAUCUGCUGGGAGGAGGGCUGGGGAAUGACAGCUGGGGAAGACUCGUUACCACCACUACGUUUACAGUCGGCCACCAUCGUGAGCCUGACAGGGAGCGGGCAAAUGCGACAUGGAAGUGACAGUCUCUGCGCCUGCCAGUGGGAGAGAUGUGCUUCCGUGCAGCCUCAUCUCUAUGGAAGCGGGAUGUCACAAAUCUUACAUGGGUUGGAUUACUUUCCAUUGCACAAUCAAUGACAAGCAAAAUGUGUAGGUAGAAAAGAAGCUUAAAAAUUAAAUGCUGUACGGGCUUCUCUGGUGGCGCAGUGGUUGAGAGUCCGCCUGCUGAUGCAGGGGACACGGGUUCAUGCCCCAGUCUGGGAGGAUCCCACAUGACGCGGAGCGGCUGGGCCCAUGAGCCAUGGCCGCUGAGCCUGCGCGUCUGGGGCCUGUGCUCCGCAACGGGAGAGGCCACAGCAGUGAGAGGCCCGUGUACCGCAAAAAAAAAAAAAAAAAAAAAAUUGAAUGCUCUGGACUAACCCAUACAAGAAGCUUAAGUGACGUGCCUCACCAAAGACAUUCUCAAGGUUCUUGUAUUAAUUCAACAAACACCUGUUGCUACCAUGUGCCAGGUUCUAAAUUAGUUAUUGGACAUACAGUGGUUGUUACGAGCUGAAUUGUGUCUCCCCAAAAUUCAUAUGUUGAAGUCCUAACCCCCCAGCACUGUAUUUGGAGGUAGAGCCUUUAAAGAGGUAAUUAGAUUAAAAUGAGGCCAUUAGGGUGGGCGUUAAUACAAUCUGACUGGUGUCUUCAUAAGAAGAAGAAAUUUGGACCCACAAGGAAACACCGAGGAAAGACCAGGUGAAGAGACAGAGAGAAGGCGGAUGGCCAUCUGCUUGCAAAGCAGGGAGACCUCAGAAGAAACCCAACCUGCCGACACCUUGAUCUUGGACUUCCAGCCUCCCAGGACUCUGGGAAAACAAAUUUCUGUUGCUUGAGCCACCCACUCUGUGGCAGCCGAGCAGAUGAUUACAGUAGUGAAUAAAGCCAGGUCCAAGUCCUCACUGAACUUACAAUCAGUUGAGGAACCGACAAUGUCAUGCCCAUUAAGCAGAGGAGAAAGUGACUAAGGGCACUUUUAGGCAUUGCCUGGCGAGCCUGACUUAGUAAGAGAACCAGGACCAGGAAUUCCAGCUAAUCUUUGGACAUACUUCAUUAUGACACCUAUGGUCAUUACCCUUUAUAUUUGAAUUAAGGGUUAAACAGAAUUAUCACUGUGCUUCAACAUGAGAAAGCAACAAAUCCUGCACUGAUCACGUGACAGGGGGAGGGGAGAAAUCUAACAGAUACGACCUAAAAGGUUAAAUGGAAAAGAAGCAUGUGCCUAGAUGAGCAUCACAUGCAGACACAUCACAGAUGUGUGGGCUUCAACAUUACCAGUAGAAGGAAAGGAAAUCUGUAUAUUUUUAUAAUCACUACACAGGUGCUUAUUUUAGAUUGUUUUCUUGAACGUUGUUAGUUUGUUGUUUUUUUUUUAACCUCACUGCCCUAUACUUGUUGCCUCAAAGGAAGCAUAACAUUAGAUAAAAAUACAGAAGCUGCUAUCUGGAGUUCAACAGGUUAAAACAGAGCUAAAAGUAGCUCCUAGGCAUGUCAUAUGGUUGGCUGACUAUUUAAUCCCCUGAUAUGUACGAGAAAUGGAAGCGUUCUCGUCUGUGUAUCUGCCAACUGUCCAUGAAGCUUUACUCUUCUCGGGAUUUUGGGGGACAUGGUCAUUGGGAGACUGAGUUUACUAACCCAAUGAAAAGUACAAAGUUCUCCUAUGCUGACUAGAGAAAACUGUGACAGAAUGUAUACUUUCUGUUGUGUGGCUGAUAUACUCAUUGUAUGUUCAGAUAUUGUGAUUCUGUCCAGACAGGCAAGGACCCCUGUGUGUGUAGAAUUGGAAGUAGGUAGGGUCUCAGAUAAAGGGAGAACUCACUUACAGUUGUAAAAACACCACCACAGCCCUGAGGGUGGUGUGGAGACCUCGGGCUGGAACCCAGAGUAAGGAUCUAAUGGAAAAAACUUAUGCAAGUGACAGAGUUAAAAAUCUCUUUCUCGGUCUUAAGUAGGUCUUAUUUUGCCAGAUAAAAUAAGACCCUCCAGUCAAAUCUGAAUUUCACAUGAACAACAAAAAUCAUUUUAAUUGUAAGUAUGUUUCAUGCAAUAUUUGAAACAUACUAAAAAAAUGUUAUUUCUCUGAAAUUGAGAUUUAACUGGGCGUAUUUUACUUGCUAGACCUGGCAAUGCUAUCUUAAUGGCAAAUACUAGCUUCAUUGUGGAAGGAAAGUAAGAUUCAGUCAUCUCUGUUUGGGGAGCUGGGCCUAGAGCUGGGUUAUGUCAUCUGUGAGACUGUGCCCAUCUUUCGGGACUGGAACUGAGUAGCCUUUCUGCAUAGUAUGUGGCACCAGAGUCAGCAGGUUAGAAAGAUGAGAAAACUAUGCAUCAUAUUACUCCCAGAGCAUUUAAUGAACCUUCAAGAAUGCCCAGGCCUGUGAAUUCUCAGCUGUGCCAAGGUGACAAACCUAAGGAAAGGAUUUGGGACCAUACUUCGGCAGGAGCAUUAAAAGCAAGUCCCCUAGGGGACAGCAAGGGCUGAAAUCAAGGGGACAAAAUUGCAGUCAAUUGGCCAGUUAACUUCCCACCUGGGAGACUCUGGGACUUGUUUUAUGGAGAGAGGCAAAUACUGCUCCCAAGUGUGAAGAACUCUGGAAGAGGGACUUCCCUGGUGGUCCAGUGGUUAAGAAUCUGCUUUCCAAUGCAGGGGACACAGGUUGCGGGUUCCAUCUCUGGUCGGGGAACAAAGAUCCCACAUGCCACUGGGCAACUAAGCCCACAAGAUCUAGAGCCCACGCACCACAAUUAGAGAGAAGCCCGCGUGCCGCAAUGAUCUCGUGUGCCACAACUAAGACCCAAUGCAGCCAAAUAAAUAAAUAAAUAUUAGAAAAAAUAAAAAGGAACAAAUCUGGCAGAAUGCUAAGGCUCCCUGGUUCUGCUGUAGUCACUCCCUCCCUCUUCAGCCAAGGGAUUCCUUGAUUCAUCAGCGAAUAUUUAUAGAGCACCUACCAUGUGCCAAGCACUGUGCUAGGUCUGGGAAUACAACUACCUCCAGGCAUCACCCUCACCCUAGGGAGCCUCUGGUCUCAAGGGGGAUCCUCAUGCUGCUCUUCUUAGACUCAGCCCUGCGCCCAGGCCUUGCCAUCCAGCUGGCAUCUCCAUUACACAGGCUCAUUCAGUUACGAUCUUCUCCUCUUCAGCAUUGGGGAACCAAAGAGUGCAUCACAGACACUUUUGUUGUGGUUUGGGUCCCUGUAAUAACUCAUCACAUGGGCCUGGAGCUCUUUUCUUUCAUUCUGGCUUGGAGACGAGCACAGCAGCUCAGUUCUCCCCUCAUCCUAAGGCUGUCUGGUCUCUACGUUCAAAGGGUUCCAGGUGUAUUCAAGUUAAAUAACCACGUCCGGGGUAACCCCCGCUUCCUGUCACUCUCCAGCACAUUUCCCUGUUUCAUGGUCCUCACUGCAUAUGUCACUAUCUGGAAUUGUUUCCCUUGUUCAUUUGUGUAUUUGUUUAUCACCUCUUCCUAAAUUAGAAUGAAUACAUCACGAAAGAAGUAAACUCAUCUCUCAUUCACCAUUGUACCUCCAAAGCUUAGAAUAGUACCUGACACUGGUGGACACUUAAAUAUUUAUUGAAGGAAUAAGAAACAAUUAAGUGAUCAAACAACCAAAUUACCUGUUCCAGGCCACCUGUGACAUGCAUGGGGUGGAUCUCAUGCACUGGAACAUGGCUACAUUUGGAAGAUGUUAAACUGUGUCUUCUAAGGAUGAUGAGCAUGUGCUCUGUUUUCUCAUGGGGUUAUCUGGUGUAUCUAUCUUCCUUAUCAUGGUCAGGGCCACCAGCUGGUCACCCAUACUGGGAACCUGGAAUCAACAUAGUCUCCCCCUUCUCUCUUUCCCUCCCUCUACAGUGAAACUACAACUGAGUAUUGUUUCUUCUACUUCAAUAGUGGUAGAGCUAGUGAACCUGCUCUCUGCCUCCAUCCCACCUCCUCCAAGUAUAUUAGUCAAGGUUCUCAGAGAAACAGAUCUAAUAGGAUCAAUAGGAUGUGUUGUACAUAUGUGUAAGAGUCUGCUUCUCUUGCCAUUCCAGAAACAUUUGAAAGAACCCACCUCCCUACACUAUGUCCCUUUCUGGCUGAAAUACCUAGAGAGAUUGCUGUUGUGUGUGUGUAUGUAUAUGUAUAUAAAUGUAUUUUUAUAUUAUAAAUAUAUGAGAGAGAUUUAUUUUAAGGAAUUGGCUCACAAAAUUGUAGAGGCAGAAUUCCUUCCUCUUCGGGUGACCCCAGUCUUUUCUCUUAAAGCCUUCAACUGAUUGGAUGAGGCUACCUACAUUACGCAUGGUCAUCUGCUUUAGUCAAAGAUUUAAAUGUUAGUCACAUCUAAAAAAUACCUCCACGGCAACAUCAAGACUGGUUUUUGACCCAAAAAAUGGGCACCGUAGCCUAGUCAAGUUGACACAUAAAAUGAAUGGUCACAGAUGACUGUCUGCCUCCAUCCCAACCUACUCUGGGGUGCUUUCAGGACAGCAGAGGAUGGAAAGCUAAAAAUUAUAUUUCUAAGACUCCCUUGCAGCUAGGUAAGGCAGCUCAGGCACAAUAUUUAAGGGGGUAUUGAAAACCUUAGUAAUCAAGAUAAAUAAUCUUAAUGAAGUAUUUUUAAAAAUUAAAAUAUAAUGCAAUAUUACUGUUGUCUUUUGCCUUUGUCCCCAGUGUGGCUUGGCAUGGUACUUGGUCCUUAAUGUAAUUAGGUUUCAUCAGUGAGAUGCACUCAUGUGAUACCUGGAAGGCAGAAAUGAGGUGGAAGUUAUCUUUCUAUGCUAGUCUCUGCUGGCAAGUCUAAUUGUGCUCCAGCAUGCCAUCUCUUGCUGUAAUGAGGGUUACAAAGUAUGGGCUGGGGCAUGUACAUUUUGCUGUUGCAGAUGGAACGAGCACAGCAAAGCUCUAGAGCCACUACUAGCAGUGACAGCAGCUCCUGCCACAGGUAGGGGAAACUUCCUGAAAUCUGAAGGUGUCCUCUUGAUUCCCCACUUCUCUUACUGAGGCAGGGGUACAAUUCCCAAAUGGGUCAUUCUGCAAUUGUGUUCAUUCCUAGAGAUUGACCUAGAGUCUGCUUCUCUUGUCCUUCCAAAAAGUUUGGAGAAAACUAAAUUCCCUAUAUUAUGUUCCUUUCUGGUUGAAAUACCUAGAGAGGUCACUGCUCCUUGCACCUGAACCCCGACCAGUGCCAUCAUCCUUCACAUAUUCAUCCUAUCCCUUCCAGCGCUACCAUCCUGUUCUUAAUUCAGGCCCCCUUUUUAAUCUCUCCUCUGCCUUCUCUAGUAUGGUUUUCAGAUCACUGUCAACUCACCCUCCUUGUGCACUUAUUUUUCUACAUUCUUUAUUCUUCACCAAGAUAGAAUUAUCCUCUUCCCUGUGAGCUCACAUCACACUUUACUAUAUAGAUUGACCCUGUUCCCAAAGAUUUAGGUAACAUCAGCACAUCAUCUGGGAAGUGUGAUGUUAAAAAUCCAAUAUUGAAAAUCUAUAAAAUUUCUUUAAAUUCUCAAGGAGCUUACAUUUAUUUUCUACCUUCCAUCUCUGCUGAAUUCCUCACUUCUUGAUUUCACACAUUCUGCAUAUUCUCACAAGGCCUUUUUAUGCACAGAAGAACUUACUGAACAGUUGAGUGUAAGCAAGUUCUUAAAAAAAAAAAAAAAAAUCCUGUAUCUUCUCUGCCAUGCUGCUCAGGUCUCCCUGAUUUCAUCCUUUCUUGUCCGUUCACUGCCCUGCUCUCUCUCAGAAAGAAAAUUCUUCAAUUUUCUAAUGUACUUCAUUUCUUCCACCCUCUCGUUAUAGACCUUGUCUUAUGUUUCCACAUCCAGUUGACCAAUCAUGGUUUUCUUCCUAUGAAAUGGCAUUGCUUCCCAAAGAGGACUUCUUCUACAGCUCAGUUUGGGUAGAUGAGCGGGCGAAACUAAGUUACUCUAAAUAAUUGUAUCAAGAUUGUGGGAGUUCACAGGAGCAGUCUGGGAGAAGAGGUGAGAAAGGCACCAGUGAGGAGAAGGACCAGGAGAAUGACUGGAAGCCUGGAUACUCCAUGAGGUCGUCUGGCCAAUGAGAACUCCUAAGGAGGUAGGGGAAGGACAUUCAAGAACAGAAAUGUAUGCUAUUAAAUUGAAGCGCUGGAGACAGAACACAUAGUGUUCAGGAACUCUGGCUGUGGGUUGCUGACUGUUCAAAAUUCAGCUCUACCACUAACUAGCUCUGCAACUGGCAAGUUCCUUAACCUCUUUUAUCUUCAAUUUUUUGUGUAAAAUAGGAUAAUAAUUGUUUUUUUAAAAGCCUAUAUCCAAUGACUACUGAAGGAUUAAAUAAGAUAAUAUAUGAAAAGUGUCUGACAAAACAAGCCAGUUGUCUGGAAAUGUUGCUAUGAUGAUGAUAACAGCAAUGCUGAACAGGUGCUGUUACUGCUGCCAUGUAAAUCAUCAUUGCAUCCCCAAAUCUUCAAUUAAAAGUCUAUGAAUUUGAUAUUAAAAUAUUUAAAAUAUUAAUAACUGAAUUUCCCAUUCUGGUUGAAGUAAUAAUGAAAACAAGGGCAAGAAAAUCCAUAAACUGACCUAAUGUAGCAGAAGCAAUUGCUCUUGAACACAAGCAUGCAAGCUCCUUGGGGAAUAACCAGAAUCUUGGAGUUUGACUUUCCUGACAUUGGGGAUAGAGGACUGAGUCAAUUGUACCCACAUCUUGAAAGGGCAGGAAGAAUCCAGCUGAUAUUUGAAUAACUAUUCUUCAAGCAUUCACUAUGGAGAUGGCCAUUGCAUGGCAGGCAGGCUGCCCUUCCCCACUUCUCUGGUUGUCACUGGCAGCACUGCUGUGUUGAGAAGGAUUCUGAAGUCAUGCCCAAGCUCAAGUUGAGCCGGUAGGGCCUUGACUGAUUAAGGACCCCUGUCAUGACCCAGAAAUGUUCUAUGUCUGGGGUCAUCAAACUAUAGCCCAAGGCCAAAUCCAGCCUACCACCAGUUGUUGUAUAACCCAUGAGCUAAGAACGCUUUUUACAUUUUGGAAUGGUUGAAAAAAUGUUUAAAGACAAUACUAUUUUAUAGAGCAUGAAAAUGAUAUGAAAUUCAAAUUUCACUGUCCAUAAAUAGUUUGAAUUUGGUCAACAAAAACAGUUGUAGAAAAUUAUUUUUCACUCUUGUCAUAAAAAUUCUGAUUUUUAUCUUUUGGCCCAGAAAGUCUAAAAUAUUUACUAUCUGGCCCUUUAUAGAAAAAGACUGCCACCCCUAUUUUACCUGAUCCAGAGGAGUCAGUGUAUUGCCACAAAGUGUCUUCUCUUCCUCUCACCCUCAAGGCUGUGCUUAUUUUUUUUUAUUGGAGUAUAGUUGAUUUACAAUAUUAUCUUAGUUACAGGUGUACAGCAAAGUGAUUCAGUUUUAUAUAUAUAUACGUAUUCUUUUCAGUUUAUUUUCUAUUGUAGGUUAUAGUAAGAUAUUGAAUAUAGUUCCCUGUGCUAUACAGUAAAUCCUGUUGCUUAUCUAUUUUAUGUAUAGUAAUUUGUAUCUGUUAAUCCCAUACUCCUAAUUUAUCCUUCCCCUCCUCCCUCUUCCCCCUCUCCCCUUUGGUAACUAUAAGUUUGUUUUCUAUG